GGGGAUAAUUAUAGAAUUGACAUUUAUCU
rnacentral:tmRNA from 3 species